rnacentral:tRNA from 1 species
UCCUUGGUGGCUUAGAGGGUAAAGCAUCUGCCUGCUAAGCAGGAGACCUGGGUUUAAUCCCUGGGUCGGGAA